rnacentral:rRNA from 1 species
UACGUAGGGCGCAAGCGUUGUCCGGAAUUAUUGGGCGUAAAGAGCUCGUAGGCGGCCUGUUGCGUCCGCUGUGAAAUCCCGAGGCUCAACCUCGGGUCUGCAGUCGAUACGGGCAAACUAGAGUAUUGCAGGGGAGACUGGAAUUCCUGGUGUAGCGGUGAAAUGCGCAGAUAUCAGGAGGAACACCGGUGGCGAAGGCGGGUCUCUGGGCCGUAACUGACGCUGAGGAGCGAAAGCAUGGGUAGCGAACAGG